rnacentral:rRNA from 1 species
GACGAACGCUGGCGGCGUGCUUAACACAUGCAAGUCGAACGGAAAGGCCUCUUUCGGGGGGUACUCGCGUGGCGCACGGGGGUGUAUCACGCGUGUAACCUGCCCCUUUCUCUGGGGUAAAUCCAGAAAACAGGGGCUCUUACACCGUAGAGGCUCCUGCUCCGUGUGGGGGGUUGGGAAGAUUCGGCGGUUGGGGAUGGACUCGCGGCUUAUCUGCUUGUUGGUGGGGUGGUGGCUUACCAAGGCUUUGACGGGUAGCCGGCCUGAGAGGGUGACCGGCCACAUUGGGACUGAGAUACGGCCCAGACUCCUACGGGAGGCAGCAGUGGGGAAUAUUGCACAAUGGGCGGAAGCCUGAUGCAGCAACGCCGCGUGCGGGAUGACGGCCCUCGGGUUGUAAACCGCUUUCGCCUGUGACGAAGCGUGAGUGACGGUAAUGGGUAAAGAAGCACCGGCUAACUACGUG